rnacentral:pre_miRNA from 1 species
CAAUCAAAGUUGUUGUGAUGUGUGAGUUACUGACCAUAUCACAGCACGCUUUGAUGGCU